CUUUACUGUAGCUUUGUAUUGGACUUUGAACAGAUCUGUGUAGGAUAGGAGGGAGGCUUUGAAGCCGGGACGCUAGUUUCGGUGGAGCCAACGUUGAAAUACCACCCUGGUGUGUUUGAGGUUCUAACCUAGGUCCAUUAUCUGGAUCGGGGACAGUGCAUGGUAGGCAGUUUGACUGGGGCGGUCUCCUCCCAAAGUGUAACGGAGGAGUUCGAAGGUACGCUAGGUACGGUCGGACAUCGUGCUAAUAGUGCAAUGGCAUAAGCGUGCUUAACUGCGAGACUGACAAGUCGAGCAGAUGCGAAAGCGGGACAUAGUGAUCCGGUGGUUCUGUAUGGAAGGGCCAUCGCUCAACGGAUAAAAGGUA
rnacentral:rRNA from 1 species